AUGGAAGAGGGAGGAGAAAUUUUGCCUCUUCCUCAGUUUGUUCUUUUCACCAAAUAUCUGUAUAUACCCUUCUUUCCUCAUUCUGUGGACACACGCUAAAGUCUGAUCCAGUUCAUGCAUACAGCUCAAAGUCCAGCAUCUCUGGAUGAUAUGAAGUCUUCUCAUCUAAAGUUCUUUACAGUUUGGUUAUAUACAAACAUAUUUAAAAUUCCCUGCCCCUCUAAUAUGUAAUUAUAAGACAGGAACAAGAUAACCACAGUAGAAGCUCCUAUUAAGAAGGACCUAGGUAAGGUCGGGUUUAGCCUAGGUAACAGGGCAGAGAUGUGGUUCAAGAUUCUCCCAGACUCACCGCCAUGGGCGUGUGCUUGCUAAUUCCAGGACUGGCUACUUUGUACAUCCACAGGUUCACUAACGGGGGCAAGGAAAAAAGAGUUGCCCAUUUUUUGUAUCACUGGGAUUUGAUGGAAAGAGAGGCACAUCUUUGGACUUGAUCAUUCCUACAUGUAACGUUGCUACAUGUCAAAGGGUUUGGAGAACAUUGAUUAAGGAAGCAUUUUCCUGAUUGAUGAAAAAAAUAACUCAGUUAUGGUCAUUUACCCCUGCUAGAAGGUUAUACAGUGUAUUAUGUAGCAUGCAGUGUGUUACAUAGUGCUUAAUAAAAAUAAAAUGAAAAAAA